rnacentral:rRNA from 1 species
AAAGCUCAAAUUUGAAAUCUGGCAGUCUACGGCUGUCCGAGUUGUAAUCUAGAGAAGUGUUUUCCGUGCUGGACCGUGUACAAGUCCUUUGGAACAAGGCGUCAUAGAGGGUGAGAAUCCCGUCUACGACACGGACUGCCAGUGCUCUGUGAUACACUCUCAACGAGUCGAGUUGUUUGGGAAUGCAGCUCAAAAUGGGUGGUAAAUUCCAUCUAAAGCUAAAUACAGGCGAAAGACCGAUAGCGAACAAGUACCGUGAGGGAAAGAUGAAAAGCACUUUGGAAAGAGAGUUAAACAGUACGUGAAAUUGUUGAAAGGGAAACGCUUGAAGUCAGUCGCGUCUUCAGAAAUUCAGCCUGGCUAAACUGCCUGGUGCACUUUUCUGUUGGACGGGCCAGCAUCAGUUUUGACCGCCAGAAAAAGGUGGGAGGAAGGUGGCACCUCCGGGUGUGUUAUAGCCUCCCACCGUAUGUGGCGGUUGGGACUGAGGACCGCAGCACGCCUCUAAUGGCCGGGGUUCGCCCACGUAACGUGCUUAGGAUGCUGGCGUAAUGGCUUUAAACGACC